rnacentral:lncRNA from 1 species
CCUGGUCAGAGCAGGUGGAGUGCUAGUGUGGAGACUGCAGGGAGAGACCACCCGAGCCAUCAGCUGAGGACUGUGGCGGCCCAGCAGGAGUAACACUGUUGAGGAGAACCCAGCCCAAGCCUGAGGAGGCUGGAGGUGCCAUACGGCUCCUGCGUGCGCCUGGUGUCUUGCCCACGCUCACCGCUUUCUUGGUCAGGGCAGUCCCGGCUGCAGCCUCUCACUCAUCA